ACAUAAAAACCUGUCAGUGAAAGCUCAGAUUGGAUGAAAUCAUCAGCAGCUGAUCAUUGAAAACUCCUCAUAAAGAUAUUAUCAUAGAGUCAGAUUACAGUAGAGUGAGGUUAGAAUGUUUGAUGUCUGUGUUUUAUUCUUCAGUUAGAUUCCUGCUCUGCUGGUCUUUAUUCUCAGCCACUGAAACCAUCUGUUUCUGUCCUGACUCCUUCAUCCUGCUCUCUGAGUGGUUUGACCUGCUCCUCCCUCUCCCUCUCUGUCUCUCUGCAGGAACACUUGUAGUGAAUGUGGCACAGACCUUCUAUCAGGCAGAGGAGAACCACCACAUCACACUGGAAUGGACCUUCACACCCAAAACUCUCAGCUCCUCCAACAUUUAUAUCUUCUGUCAACUGAUAACUGAUCAGAAAGUCUCAGUCCUGUUUCAGCUCCAUGAGGGUGUUGAGGUCUCAGAGUCUCAGGAUGAACAGUUUUCAGGACGAGUCCAGUUUGACAAAGACGUCCUCAGAGAAGGACGACUCAGACUUGAUGUGUCCAGACUCAGGACUGAGGACUCAGGUCUGUACCUGUGUGAGGUCAACACAGAGUCCGGUUCAAGCUCUGACAAGUGUCGACUCAACGUCACUGUGAGAAAAGACCAAGACAACAGGACAAACACAACGAUCAUCGAGCCAGAGAAACCUGGAGCUGAGAAGAUGAAUGUUGGUGCCAUUGUUGGUGGUGUUCUCACUGUUGUUGCUCUUAUUCUUGUCCUCAUUAUUCUCAGAGUCCUGGUGAAACCUAGAAAUCUCUGGAUGAAGAAGAAGCAGGAAGCAGAGAAAACACCAAACAUCUCUGAGAUGGAAAAGCUGGAGACGACAUCAACAGAAGGAGAUGAAGAGCUGCAGAAAAUGAUUCUGGAAACUUCCUGAAAGAGAUCGAAGCCGUCAGCCCCGACUACGACAAGAUGAUCGAAGGUUAAACUCCCUUGGUUUUCAGAGGGAGGGGUUGCAGUGAUGAUGAUGAUGAUGAAGAGACAUUCACUGAGGUUAUCACAGGUUGUAGAUUCAUAUUGAAGAUAUUAAAACUAUGAAGGAACAUGUGGAAUUAUGUAGUAAACAAAAAAGUGUAAAACAACGUUACACAGUCUGUGGCUGGACCGUGUUUGGGACUGACGGCCGUGACAGUCGAUGCCAACUCGCCUGUAGUUUCCGCGUUAGCUGCGCGCGUUCUCGUUCUCGACAGCAGCGGAGACCGGAGCUGCUGGAGGACCCCGAGAACACCGAGGACUCAAACAGCAGUUAUGGAGUCACCUGCAGCAGGUGUGGGGUCUGUGGACGCGCGUAGAGAGAGUAUGGACUCGUACAGGCGGUAUGGAGUCCAGUGCUGGGGAGGCGUGGACGCGCACACAGGAGGCUUCGUAGUUCGUCCGCGGAGGAAGUUUAGCUGGAUCCUAAGACAGUCUGAACUGGUUUAACAGUCCCGUGUUAGACAGACAUACAAAGUUUCAUCCAAAAUGUAACAUCCAGUCAGUGUUUGGAGAUUUUAAAUUAAAGCCGCUGCUGGAGGAUCUCCUCUGUACAGAUGUCUGACAGUGGACGGUACGAAUGUUACGUCCCAGACCUGACUGCUUAUUGUACCAAGUGAAUUCCGCACCGAAUGAGGAAGUAGUGAAACUCUGCUGCUAACAGCGCUGUCAUUGGCGUGUGACGACAUCACGUUCUGUUGUCACUGCCGUCCGGAGAGAGAAAAUCAUGGAGGAAACUCUGUGUAUUUUCCUGCUUAUUUCUCAGCUCUCUGUCGCUGUCAGUGGAACACUUGUAGUGAAUGUGGCACAGACCUUCUAUCAGGCAGAGGAGAACCACCACAUCACACUGGAAUGGACCUUCACACCCAAAACUCUCAGCUCCUCCAACAUUUAUAUCCUCUGUGAACUGUUGACUGAUCAGAAAGUCUCAAAAGUCCUGUUUCAUCUCCAUGAGGGUGUUGAGGUCUCAGAGUCUCAGGAUGAACAGUUUUCAGGACGAGUCCAGUUUGACAAAGACGUCCUCAGAGAAGGACGACUCAGACUUGAUGUGUCCAGACUCAGGACUGAGGACUCAGGUCUGUACCUGUGUGAGGUCAACACAGAGUCCGGUUCAAGCUCUGACAAGUGUCGACUCAACGUCACUGUGAGAAAAGACCAAGACAACAGGACAAACACAACGAUCAUCGAACCAGAGAAACCUGGAGCUGAGAAGAUGGAUGUUGGUGCCAUUGUUGGUGGUGUCCUUGGUGCCCUCAUUGGUCUUGGUCUCAUUCUUAUCGGAGUCCUGGUGAAACUUGGAAUAAUCACCAUUUGUCAGAGGAGGGAGGGAGGAGGAGACCAGGGACGAGAGCUGGCAGACGUGGACUGAUGGUCGAUGGACGGACGGCUGCUGGAGAGAGAAGACGUUUAGAACCUGAGUGUUUAACAGCUGCUCUGGUUUCAGCAGCUUUACCAAAGAUUGUACUCAACAAAGGGACUUAAACCUCUCUCUACUGCAGGGAUGAAGAAGAAGCAGGAAGCAGAGAAAACACCAAACAUCUCUGAGAUGGAAAAGCUGGAGACGACAUCAACAGAAGGAGAUGAAGAGCUGCAGAAAACGCUUCAGGAAACUUCCUGCAACAUGUGUAGUUGGUGAACUGGCUGGGCUGAGGUAUCAAAACCAUUUUCAUAGUUCAUAGUUAAUAACCACAAUCACACGAUGCUGGUCAUCAACUCGUUCAGUCAACCCAGGAUUUCUUGGGUGCGUUCAUGUGAAGAGGCAGGGUUGUUAGUUAAAAGCAGCGCUGUCAGAACCAGGUGAAAUGUAAACAGUAUUAUCACAUCAGUUAUUAUAAGUUAUUAGGGCCCGAGCAACGAGUUGCGUGGGCCCAACGGGGCCAUGCAACGAGUUGCAAGGACCCUCUUGUUUUCGUUCGGUUUCAGUAUUUUUUUUUUUCUUCUUCUUCCGGUGCCUCUUUAAUCGCCUUUUUGAGGGCCUUAACGUGCACCAAAACUCAUGAAAAUUUGCAGACGCGUCAGGCAUGGCGAAAAAUUUAAUAAUUUAGGGGUCUUGAGCAUGGGCGUGGCAAAAUGGCCUCUGUAGCGCCACCUAGAUUUUUUAACUGAACAGCCCCUCAAGCCCGUUGCACCUAAAAAUCUGAAAAUGUGCACACAUAUGUAACAUCUCAUGAUGCACCAAAAAGUCUCUUGGAGCCAUAUUCUAAACCCAACAGAAAGUUGUUGUUUUUUUUUUUUUUUUUGACCGGAAGGUGAAAAAAUUGUGUCUUUUUUGCCAUUUCCAGGGGUCACGGGAACUCUAUCUUGUCCUAAACGCGUUAUCCGAUUGUCUUCAAAAUUUGAUAAUUUGUUAUUAAGACAUAGACGAAGUUAAAUUGCAAAAGUUUCGGACUUUUCAUUGAAGGGCGUGGAAGUUAUGGCCCCUCAAAGUUCGAUCACUCGCCACAAAACAGGAAGUUGCUUUAAAUUUGCUUUAUUUCGGCCAUACUUUGUCCAAACUGCAUCAAACUUUACAGGAUUGUUAAUGGUACGUAUCUGCACACAUCCAUAUGUCAAUAUUCAUACAAUUGUUGUAGCGCCACCUAUUUAUAGCAGGAAAUGACAUAUUUUAUAGUGUGAUGUCCAGUUUCUAGAAGGGUGACCAGAUUCACUUCAAAUGUUGUCAGGACAGACUUAAGGACUUCCGGAAGACGGGCUCUGAAAAUUGUGAGUUUUGGUCGAAGCGUGUGCCUGUUCUGGCCUGUUAAAGUUCGGAAACCCAAUUUCGUCUCAGAAAGCUCAGAUUUUGGGGUAACUUCCUGUUGCAACUCUCUACUUUAUCCUAUAGAUGGAGCCAUUGUAUUACUCUUUGAUGGGUUUUUGGAAGGGGGGUCUCUGUGUGUGUGUGUGUGUGUGUGUGUGUGUGUGUGUGUGUGUGUGUGUGUCUGAGGGGGGAGGGGAAGAGGAGUUGAUUGAGUCUGUGAGAAGCUGCCACAGGGAGGUUACAGCGUUGACCCCGCGGUUGCCGGGGUCCCGCGGUCGCCGCUCCCCCGACAGGCGGCGGGUGCGAGGGCCCGUUCAACGCUGCUCGCAGCUUUAAUUAUGUUUUGUUUUUAUACUUGAAUGUAUUUUAUUUCAUGUGCUGCACUUUAUACCUGUUCUUUAAACUCUAAUGAAAUGAGCUCUUAUUCUAUUAAAUGCUUCAGUGACUUGUA